GACGAACGCUGGCGGCGUGCCUAAUACAUGCAAGUCGAACGCAGUGGGGACGGGUGAGUAACACGUGGGUAACCUCCCAUCAGAGGGGAUAACACUUGGACACAGGUGCUAAACCGAUACGGCUGGAUGGACCCGCGGUGCAUUAGCUCGUUGGUGAGGUAACGGCUCACCAAGGCCACGAUGCAUAACCGACCUGGGAGUGUGAGCGUGCACACAGGGACUGAGACACGGCCCAGAAUCCGACGGGAGGCAGCAGUAGGGAAUCUUCGGCAAUGGACGAAAGUCUGACCGAGCAACGCCGCGUGAGGGAAGAAGGUUUUCGGAUCGUAAAACUCUGUUGUUAGAGAAGCGGUAUCUAACCAGAAAGCCACGGCUAACUACGUGCCAGCCGCCGCGGUAAUUC
rnacentral:rRNA from 1 species